GGGCCCGGCUCCCGCCCUCUCCGGGGAAUCGUGAACCGGGGGUUCCGGCCGGGCCUACAGUUAUGAUGAACUUUUGCUUUGCUGAUGUGGUGAUGAGCACGCCCUUCGCUGAUACUCUCUCGUCCAU
rnacentral:snoRNA from 14 species